AGGUGAUGAUGAUAAAUUUAAGACUUGUUUCUCAAAACAUUUGCAGUUGCUGCCUAGGAGCUUUCGCCUUGCCAGGCGGAGCUGAUGCAGCUAAUUCCUUUGAUGUCUCAGCCU
rnacentral:snoRNA from 16 species